AGAUGUGUCAUAGUUCACAUUAAUUAUUGUGUUAAUUAUUGUUAAUGUAUACAGCCCUAUUGUAAAGUGUAACCCACUUUUAAUACCUUUGUGAGUGUUUUUUUUUUUUGUAGUUGAUUUUCUGGCAAAGUACUGCAUCCUCAGUCAGGAGAAGCUGUCAGUGUACAAAAGGGCUUUUGAGGCCGCUGAUAGAGAUGGAGAUGGUUAUCUGAGCUGUCUCCAAGUGCUGCUGGCACUGAAAGAGAUCAUUCCCCCAGAACUUCUGACUGAAGAAGAGGAAAUAUAUGUGUACAGGAUUCUGGAGCUGGUUGAUUUCAGAGUGACAGAAGGCCUUACGGAUCUGCGCCUGUUUGCUGUAGUGGCCAGUUUGGCCCAGAAAAUAGUCACACUAGAGUGAGUCAGC
ensembl:lncRNA